UCUGAGGUAGCUUAGAUGGUAAAGAAUCUGCUUGCAAUGCAGGAGACCCGGGUUCAACUUCUGGAUUGGGAA
rnacentral:tRNA from 1 species